rnacentral:rRNA from 1 species
AGCGAACGCUGGCGGCAGGCUUAACACAUGCAAGUCGAGCGGGCCCUUCGGGGUCAGCGGCGGACGGGUGAGUAACGCGUGGGAACGUGCCUUCUGGUUCGGAAUAACCCUGGGAAACUAGGGCUAAUACCGGAUACGCCCUUUUGGGGAAAGGUUUACUGCCGGAAGAUCGGCCCGCGUCUGAUUAGCUAGUUGGUGGGGUAACGGCCUACCAAGGCGACGAUCAGUAGCUGGUCUGAGAGGAUGAUCAGCCACACUGGGACUGAGACACGGCCCAGACUCCUACGGGAGGCAGCAGUGGGGAAUAUUGGACAAUGGGCGCAAGCCUGAUCCAGCCAUGCCGCGUGAGUGAUGAAGGCCUUAGGGUUGUAAAGCUCUUUUAUCCGGGACGAUAAUGACGGUACCGGAGGAAUAAGCCCCGGCUAACUUCGUGCCAGCCGCCGCAGUAAGAC